AUGGACUGGGCGGCGCACACGGAGCACAUCCGCGCCCAGCUGGAGCGCGCUCAGCGCCGGUUCAAGAAGCAGGCAGAUCGCAACCGCACCGAGCGCCAGUUUCAGGUCGGCGAGCAAGUGUUGCUGAAGCUGCAGCCCUACGCGCAGCGCUCGGUCGUCAACCGGCCCUGCGCCAAGCUCGCCUUCAAGUUCUUCGGGCCGUACACCGUCCUCGAGAAGAUCGGCCUCAUGGCGUAUAAGCUCGCCCUGCCGCCCGCGAGCCAGGUGCAUCCGGUCUUCCACGUAUCCCAGCUCAAGCCAUUCACACCGGACUAUACGCCGGUGUACGCGGAGCUGCCGCGCGUGCCGGACCUCUCCGUGUCGACGGCGGCACCAACGCAGCUGCUGGAACGGCGCAUGAUGAAGCGCGGGAAUGCUGCCAUCGUGCAAAUCAAGGUGCAGUGGGGCGAUGGAUCGUCGGCCGCCACCACAUGGGAAGACUACGAGGUUCUCCGGCAGCGGUUUCCUGCGGCAGCCAUUUCGGAGGACUCGGGGCCAAGCUUCCAGGAGGAAGCUCAGUCUUAA
rnacentral:rRNA from 1 species